rnacentral:lncRNA from 1 species
AGGAAUAACAUACUAAAUUUGUAGAUCAAACGGGGCAAGUUUGCUACACACCUGUUACCACCACCAGAACCAAACCCUUAUUUUUGUUCUCGUCCAACUGUUCUCUUUUCUUCAUCACAUCUGAAAUAGGGAUUUCAAAUCCUUUUAUUUCCUUCACAUGGGCCUAGCCCAAUAAUACCUUUUUUUUUCUUUCUUUUUUUUCAAUAAUAAUAAUACUAAUGCUAAUAAAACUAGUGUGUUCCACUUGGGGAGUGAGCCCACCCAACAGUUUCCUCGUGUUCACAGUUGUGAUCUGCCAUGUUACUCAAGUGGUAUUUGUU